GGGUUGUGAGGUUAAGCGACUAAGCGUACACGGUGGAUGCCCUGGCAGUCAGAGGCGAUGAAGGGCGUACUAAUCUGCGAUAAGCGCCGGUAAGGUGAUAUGAACCGUUAUAACCGGCGAUACCCGAAUGGGGAAACCCAGUGUGAUUCGUCACACUAUCAUUAACUGAAUCCAUAGGUUAAUGAGGCGAACCGGGGGAACUGAAACAUCUAAGUACCCCGAGGAAAAGAAAUCAACCGAGAUUCCCCCAGUAGCGGCGAGCGAACGGGGAGGAGCCCAGAGCCUGAAUCAGCAUGUGUGUUAGUGGAAGCGUCUGGAAAGGCGCGCGAUACAGGGUGACAGCCCCGUACACAAAAGCGCAUGUGCUGUGAGCUCGAUGAGUAGGGCGGGACACGUGGUAUCCUGUCUGAAUAUGGGGGGACCAUCCUCCAAGGCUAAAUACUCCUGACUGACCGAUAGUGAACCAGUACCGUGAGGGAAAGGCGAAAAGAACCCCGGCGAGGGGAGUGAAAAAGAACCUGAAACCGUGUACGUACAAGCAGUGGGAGCACAGGUUUACCUGUGUGACUGCGUACCUUUUGUAUAAUGGGUCAGCGACUUAUAUUCUGUAGCAAGGUUAACCGAAUAGGGGAGCCGGAGGGAAACCGAGUCUUAAUUGGGCGUUAAGUUGCAGGGUAUAGACCCGAAACCCGGUGAUCUAGCCAUGGGCAGGUUGAAGGUUGGGUAACACUAACUGGAGGACCGAACCGACUAAUGUUGAAAAAUUAGCGGAUGACCUGUGGCUGGGGGUGAAAGGCCAAUCAAACCGGGAGAUAGCUGGUUCUCCCCGAAAGCUAUUUAGGUAGCGCCUCGUGAAUUCAUCUCCGGGGGUAGAGCACUGUUUCGGCUAGGGGGCCAUCCCGGCUUACCAACCCGAUGCAAACUGCGAAUACCGGAGAAUGUUAUCACGGGAGACACACGGCGGGUGCUAACGUCCGUCGUGAAGAGGGAAACAACCCAGACCGCCAGCUAAGGUCCCAAAGUCAUGGUUAAGUGGGAAACGAUGUGGGAAGGCCCAGACAGCCAGGAUGUUGGCUUAGAAGCAGCCAUCAUUUAAAGAAAGCGUAAUAGCUCACUGGUCGAGUCGGCCUGCGCGGAAGAUGUAACGGGGCUAAACCAUGCACCGAAGCUGCGGCAGCGACACUGUGUGUUGUUGGGUAGGGGAGCGUUCUGUAAGCCUGCGAAGGUGGCCUGUGAGGGUUGCUGGAGGUAUCAGAAGUGCGAAUGCUGACAUAAGUAACGAUAAAGCGGGUGAAAAGCCCGCUCGCCGGAAGACCAAGGGUUCCUGUCCAACGUUAAUCGGGGCAGGGUGAGUCGACCCCUAAGGCGAGGCCGAAAGGCGUAGUCGAUGGGAAACGGGUUAAUAUUCCCGUACUUGGUGUUACUGCGAAGGGGGGACGGAGAAGGCUAUGUUGGCCGGGCGACGGUUGUCCCGGUUUAAGCGUGUAGGUGUGUGUUCCGUAAAUCCGGUUCACUUUAACACUGAGGCGUGACGACGAGGCACUACGGUGCUGAAGCAACAAAUGCCCUGCUUCCGGGAAAGCCUCUAAGCAUCAGGUAACAUCAAAUCGUACCCCAAACCGACACAGGUGGUCAGGUAGAGAAUACCAAGGCGCUUGAGAGAACUCGGGUGAAGGAACUAGGCAAAAUGGUGCCGUAACUUCGGGAGAAGGCACGCUGACACGUAGGUGAAGUGAUUUACUCAUGGAGCUGAAGUCAGUCGAAGAUACCAGCUGGCUGCAACUGUUUAUUAAAAACACAGCACUGUGCAAACACGAAAGUGGACGUAUACGGUGUGACGCCUGCCCGGUGCCGGAAGGUUAAUUGAUGGGGUCAGCGCAAGCGAAGCUCCUGAUCGAAGCCCCGGUAAACGGCGGCCGUAACUAUAACGGUCCUAAGGUAGCGAAAUUCCUUGUCGGGUAAGUUCCGACCUGCACGAAUGGCGUAAUGAUGGCGGGCUGUCUCCACCCGAGACUCAGUGAAAUUGAACUCGCUGUGAAGAUGCAGUGUACCCGCGGCAAGACGGAAAGACCCCGUGAACCUUUACUAUAGCUUGACACUGAACAUUGAGCCUUGAUGUGUAGGAUAGGUGGGAGGCUUUGAAGUGUGGACGCCAGUCUGCAUGGAGCCGACCUUGAAAUACCACCCUUUAAUGUUUGAUGUUCUAACGUGGACCCGUUACCCGGGUUGCGGACAGUGUCUGGUGGGUAGUUUGACUGGGGCGGUCUCCUCCUAAAGAGUAACGGAGGAGCACGAAGGUUGGCUAAUCCUGGUCGGACAUCAGGAGGUUAGUGCAAUGGCAUAAGCCAGCUUGACUGCGAGCGUGACGGCGCGAGCAGGUGCGAAAGCAGGUCAUAGUGAUCCGGUGGUUCUGAAUGGAAGGGCCAUCGCUCAACGGAUAAAAGGUACUCCGGGGAUAACAGGCUGAUACCGCCCAAGAGUUCAUAUCGACGGCGGUGUUUGGCACCUCGAUGUCGGCUCAUCACAUCCUGGGGCUGAAGUAGGUCCCAAGGGUAUGGCUGUUCGCCAUUUAAAGUGGUACGCGAGCUGGGUUUAGAACGUCGUGAGACAGUUCGGUCCCUAUCUGCCGUGGGCGCUGGAGAACUGAGGGGGGCUGCUCCUAGUACGAGAGGACCGGAGUGGACGCAUCACUGGUGUUCGGGUUGUCAUGCCAAUGGCACUGCCCGGUAGCUAAAUGCGGAAGAGAUAAGUGCUGAAAGCAUCUAAGCACGAAACUUGCCCCGAGAUGAGUUCUCCCUGAGACUUAAAGUCUCCUGAAGGAACGUUGAAGACGACGACGUUGAUAGGCCGGGUGUGUAAGCGCAGCGAUGCGUUGAGCUAACCGGUACUAAUGAACCGUGAGGCUUAACCUUACAACGCCGAAG
rnacentral:rRNA from 1 species